UCCGAAUUGGUGUAGUGGUUAACAUUUGACGCUCUCAAACCGUUCAAGUCAGUUCGAAUGGUACCGUCAAGCCCGGGGUUCGAUUCCCCGAUUCGGAG